GACAGAGGUGCCAAGCGUUAGGCGGAAUCACUGGGCUUAAAGCGUGUGUAGGCGGAUCGUUAAGUACCUUGUGAAAUCCCACGGCUCAACCGUGGAACUGCUCGGUAUACUGGCGGUCUUGAGCCACCUAGGGGCAACUGGAACAAGCGGUGGAGCGGUGAAAUGCGUAGAGAUGUGGAGGAACACCAGUGGCGAAGGCGACUCUUUGGCCUGUAACUGACGCUGAGGCGCGAAAGCGUGGGGAGCAAACAGG
rnacentral:rRNA from 1 species